AAAAAAUAUUAAGUGCUCACUUUGUCCAUAGCGUGUCCAGUGCAUUGUCAGCUGUGCUUGUACCGCAACCAAAACUUCGACAUGCACACUUCCACGCACACGCACACACACAAGAAGAAGCAUGCCAGCACACAGCAAUUACAUUUGCAGGUCGCUUGCUCGAUACGCGGAAGACAAAGGGCGGAAGUAGCCAACAAGUCCGUGUCCAAUGCCUCUGGCCUGUAAUAAUCGACUGGAAUAAAUAAUAAUUUUAGAUAGAUAGCAAAGCCUGCGGCGUUGCCUUAUUUAAAUAAAUAAUAUAUGCAUAUUCUAUGUAAGAUUCUGAAUGUUAAUUCUAAGUUCAAACCAAUGUCAAGGUUCACAUUAAAAGAAGAAAACUUGUUCUAGUCAAAAGAA